rnacentral:rRNA from 1 species
AACGAACGCUGGCGGCAUGCCUAACACAUGCAAGUCGAACGAAGCCUUCGGGCUUAGUGGCGCACGGGUGCGUAACGCGUGGGAAUCUGCCCCUUGCUUCGGAAUAACAGUUAGAAAUGACUGCUAAUACCGGAUGAAGUCUUCGGACCAAAGAUUUAUCGGCAAGGGAUGAGCCCGCGUAGGAUUAGGUAGUUGGUGGGGUAAAGGCCUACCAAGCCGACGAUCCUUAGCUGGUCUGAGAGGAUGAUCAGCCACACUGGGACUGAGACACGGCCCAGACUCUUAGGGGAGGAAGUAGGGGGGAAUAUGGGAAAAGGGACGCAAGUCGGACCCAGCAAUGCCGCGGGAGUGAUGAAGGCUUAGGGUUGUAAAGCUCUUUUACCAGGGAUGAUAAUGACAGUACCUGGAGAAUAAGCUCCGGCUAACUCCGUG